UUGACCUCGGAUCAGGUAGGGAUACCCGCUGAACUUAAGCAUAUCAAUAAGCGGAGGAAAAGAAACCAACAGGGAUUGCCCCAGUAACGGCGAGUGAAGCGGCAAGAGCUCAAAUUUGAAAGCUGGCUCCUUCGGGGUCCGCAUUGUAAUUUGCAGAGGAUGCUUCGGGAGCGGUCCCCAUCUAAGUGCCCUGGAACGGGACGUCAUAGAGGGUGAGAAUCCCGUAUGGGAUGGGGUGUCCGCGCCCGUGUGAAGCUCCUUCGACGAGUCGAGUUGUUUGGGAAUGCAGCUCUAAAUGGGUGGUAAAUUUCAUCUAAAGCUAAAUAUUGGCCGGAGACCGAUAGCGCACAAGUAGAGUGAUCGAAAGAUGAAAAGCACUUUGAAAAGAGAGUUAAAAAGCACGUGAAAUUGUUGAAAGGGAAGCGCUUGCGACCAGACUCGCUCGCGGGGUUCAGCCGGCAUUCGUGCCGGUGUACUUCCCCGCGGGCGGGCCAGCGUCGGUUUGGGCGGUCGGUCAAAGGCCCUCGGAAGGUAACGCCCCUAGGGGCGUCUUAUAGCCGAGGGUGCAAUGCGACCUGCCUAGACCGAGGAACGCGCUUCGGCUCGGACGCUGGCAUAAUGGUCGUAAGCGACC
rnacentral:rRNA from 4 species